rnacentral:rRNA from 1 species
UGGGCGCAAGCCUGAUGCAGCCAUGGCCGCGUGUGUGAAGAAGGCCUUCGGGUUGUAAAGCACUUUCAGUCGUGAGGAAGGUAGUGUAGUUAAUAGCUGMUUYRUUUGACGUUAGCGACAGAAGAAGCACCGGCUAWCUCCGUG